rnacentral:sRNA from 1 species
AAAUAACAUUUAGUGUGGCAAUGUUUUUCAAGAGUAAAGCAGUCUUGGCAGUUUCACAAUUUAUCAGUGACUCAAAAAUGAAAUUAUUUUCAUAUUUUUUUACCCAGAGAAUUAUGCAUGUCUUUGAAGGUUGUGAAUAUGAUGAUAAAAUGAGUUUGAAUACAUGGUUGUUCACAUUUGUUAACAAAUUUAGACUUUUUCUUUAUAAAGUUCAUAAACUGCUGAUGAUUUUGUGUAUCUUGGCUGUUGUACAUGUAACUGUACAUGACACAUGUAUGGAUUCAUGUGUGUGACACAUGAGCAGACAUUUCUUUGGAACGUGUGUUGCAUUGUUGAUUUUAUUUUUUAUUUCUUCAUACGCAUUUCUGCAUUAGCAUCAUGUCUUCCCAUUGAGAACAAAAAUAAAGUAGAAUUGAUG